rnacentral:tmRNA from 1 species
GGGGGCGAACAGGGUUCGACGGGGACAGUUGAGGUCUGAGUUGCAUGCCGAGGUCCCAUCUGCUCGUAAAACAGGUGGAGACACAAUAAGUGCCGACGAUUAUGCUUACGCUCUGGCCGCCUAAUUAGGCCAGCGUCUCUUAUGAUCUCUCCCACGGAUCUUAGGGGGCGUGGACAAGUGGGAUAGCCUUUCAAAGGUCUCUGGCACUUUGGAAGGCGAAAUCGCAGCCGGGGUUGCUUUCUCAAGCCCGCCUGGUUGAGCUUAGGGAAGGCGAGAACUUAAAACCAGGAUAAGCAUGUAGAAGCUCAGGCUGAAGGUUUCCGGACGAGGGUUCGAUUCCCUCCGCCUCCACCA